GAAUAUUGGACAAUGGGCGAAAGCCUGGUCCAGCCAUGCCGCGUGUGUGAAGAAGGUCUUCGGAUUGUAAAGCACUUUAAGUUGGGAGGAAGGGCAGUAAGCGAAUACCUUGCUGUUUUGACGUUACAGACAGAAUCAGCACCGGCUAACGCUGUGCCAGCAGCCGCGGUAAUACAGAGGGUGCAAUCGUUAAUCGGGAUUACUGGGCGUAAAGCGAACGUAGGUGGUUCGUUAAGUAGGAUGUUAAAUCCCCGGGCUCAACCUGGGAACUGCAUCCAAAACUGGCGAGCUAGAGUAGGGCAGAGGGUGGUGGAAUUUCCUGUGUAGCGGUGAAAUGCGUAGAUAUAGGAAGGAACACCAGUGGCGAAGGCGACCACCUGGGCUCAUACUGACACUGAGGUGCGAAAGCGUGGGGAGCAAACAGG
rnacentral:rRNA from 1 species